UGUGGGCUGACCUCCUGCAAGUGUCACACAGCCGGGAGCACCUCCCUGGGGAAAGCGGGGAGAGGCACAGCCAUAAUUGGUUAGAACACUAAGGGACUCUGAGCAUUUCGUUUCUACUGCCAGCAUCUGUAAGAAAACAACCUUUGAAGAGAUGCUAUUUGAAAUAUGAACUACAUUACAUAGAAUUGGAAACAUCUCCCCAGAGAAUGAACUAGAACAAUCUUUUGCCUCGUACAGAGCAAUGAAGACCUACUAGGCCUGAUGUUGAUACUAACCAGUGUGCUGCUGGAGAAAACUGCUUUAAAGUUUUUCUUUUUUUACAUGCUGUGAAAAUCCUGGAAAGCACAUAAUCAGAGAAAUCACAUUCAUAUGGAAACGUAAAAACAUGAGCAAGCUUGUCUGUGAGCAAAGACACAGUGUAGAGUCUCAUAUCUCAACAAAG
rnacentral:lncRNA from 1 species